GAUAGCUCAGUUGGUAGAGCAGCGGAUUGAAAAUCCGCGUGUCGCUGGUUCGAUUCCGGCUC
rnacentral:tRNA from 1 species